GUUGAAAUUCAUCACAUAUUUAAUUUAUUUAUGAAUAUUCAUUGGGUUUUCAGAAUUUCUAAUGGUUUUAUUAUGCAUUAAAUGUGCCAAAAACUUUGCACAGAACUGUAUUUUAGAGUGAAAAUUUUA